rnacentral:rRNA from 1 species
GUAGGUGGCAAGCGUUGUCCGGAAUUAUUGGGCGUAAAGCGCGCGCAGGUGGGUUCUUUAAGUCUGAUGUGAAAAGCCCCCGGGCUCAACCGGGGAGGGUCAUUGGAAACUGGGGAACUUGAGUGCAGGAGAGGAAAGUGGAAUUCCACGUGUAGCGGUGAAAUGCGUAGAUAUGUGGAGGAACACCAGUGGCGAAGGCGACUUUCUGGCCUGUAACUGACACUGAGGCGCGAAAGCGUGGGGAGCAAACAGGAUUAGAUACCCUGGUAGUCCACGCCGUAAACGAUGAGUGCUAAGUGUUGGGGGGUUUCCGCCCCUCAGUGCUGCAGCUAACGCAUUAAGCACUCCGCCUGGGGAGUACGGUCGCAAAGACUG